UCCCUGUCUCAGGGUUGCAUCUGGAGAGUAUCCAGUACUCUACCACUCAGACUACAGGAGGGAGAGUCAAGCAGAGGCAUACCCUUUCCAUUCCUAGCUUGGCCAGUGGCUAGUGAGUGGAAGGCAAUCUGCUACAAGU
rnacentral:snoRNA from 2 species